AUGAACGCUAGCGACAGGCCUAACACAUGCAAGUCGAGGGGCAGCACAAGGAGCAAUCUGAGGUGGCGACCGGCGCACGGGUGAGUAACACGUAUGCAACCUGCCUGUAAGCGGGGAAUAACCCGUUGAAAGACGGACUAAUACCGCAUAAUACUAAAUUACUGCAUGGUAAUUUAUUUAAACAUUUAUGGCUUACAGAUGGGCAUGCGCAUGAUUAGCUAGUUGGAGAGGUAACGGCUCCCCAAGGCAACGAUCAUUAGGGGUUCUGAGAGGAAGGUCCCCCACACUGGUACUGAGACACGGACCAGACUCCUACGGGAGGCAGCAGUGAGGAAUAUUGGUCAAUGGACGAGAGUCUGAACCAGCCAAGUCGCGUGCAGGAAGAAUGUCCUAUUGGAUUGUAAACUGCUUUUGCAGGGGAAUAAAGUGCAUCACGUGUGAUGCUUUGUAUGUACUCUGCGAAUAAGGAUCGGCUAACUCCGUGCCAGCAGCAGC
rnacentral:rRNA from 1 species